AGAGUUUGAUCCUGGCUCAGAAUCAACGCUGGCGGCGUGCCUCAGACAUGCAAGUCGAACGAUUAAAGCUCUCUUCGGAGAGUGUAUAGAGUGGCGCACGGGUGAGUAACACGUAAGUAAUCUACCCUCGAGUGGGGAAUAACAGUCGGAAACGACUGCUAAUACCGCAUAACGCAGCGGCACCGCAAGGUGACAGUUGUUAAAGGAGUAAUUCGCUUGAGGAGGAGCUUGCGGCAGAUUAGCUUGUUGGUAAGGUAACGGCUUACCAAGGCUACGAUCUGUAUCCGGUCUAAGAGGACGGUCGGACACACUGACACUGAAUAACGGGUCAGACUCCUACGGGAGGCAGCAGUCGGGAAUUUUGGGCAAUGGGCGAAAGCCUGACCCAGCAACGCCGCGUGAAGGAUGAAGUAUUUCGGUAUGUAAACUUCGAAAGAAUAGGAAGAAUAAAUGACGGUACUAUUUAUAAGCUCCGGCUAACUACGUGCCAGCAGCCGCGGUAAU
rnacentral:rRNA from 1 species